UACGGAGGGCGCAAGCGUUGUUCGGAAUUACUGGGCGUAAAGCGCGUGUAGGCGGCCAGGUAAGUCGGAUGUGAAAGCCCGGGGCCCAACCCCGGAACUGCACCCGAUACUGCCCGGCUGGAGUCCCGGAGAGGAUGGCGGAAUUUCCGGUGUAGAGGUGAAAUUCGUAGAUAUCGGAAGGAACACCAGUGGCGAAGGCGGCCAUCUGGACGGUGACUGACGCUGAGACGCGAAAGCGUGGGGAGCAAAC
rnacentral:rRNA from 1 species